rnacentral:rRNA from 1 species
CUGCAGACGCCAGAUCUACCGGAUUAUCUAAUACCAAGACUAAAGAUGUGAUUCAAAGAUGUAGAGAAAGCAAGGGAAUUUUAUAACAGAUACGCCAGACACGCUGGUUUUGGAAUCAGGAAGACGGGUGGAAAUGACAUCCACAAGUAUUUUGUUUGCGCCUUCCAAGGGUUACACACAUCUUCAGUUUCAGAGGCCAGCAGGAAGCGAAACAAAACAUCGCAGAGGACGGGCUGCAAUGCAAGAAUGAGGGUGAAGGUGCAGGAGGAUGGCACAUGCAUGGCAGUGGACAUUGAGUACAAUCAUAAUCACCAGCUCAUGCAAACUGAUGACAUGCUGGUGUUUUUGCACUCACACAAGAAUUAUGACCCCACUAUUUUGGAGUAUGUAAAGCUCUUGCAGUACCAUGAUGUCAAGCACACGACAAUCAUAUCCAUGCUAUCUGAAAAUGAAGAUGGAAGCUACUUCCUAAGCAUGACCGGACGAGACCUGCUAAACAAGAAAGCCAUGAAUGCAAGGAAAGAUUAUUUGGAUGAUGUAUUGAAACUUGUUUCAUUCUUCAAAGAUAUGAAGGCGAUAAAUGAUGAGUUUUUCUACGACAUCCAAGUGGACAAGGACAAGUCAAUUAAAAACAUUUUCUGGUCCAAUGCAAGCUGCCGAGGAGCCUAUCAAGACUUCGGCGAUUGCGUAACAUUCGACACGACUUACAAGACCAACAGAUUUCAUAUGCCCCUGGGACUGUUUGUUGGAACAAACCAUCACUUGCAGUCAACGAUAUUUGCUGUUGCCCUGAUAAGAGACGAAGAUGCAAAGUCAUUCAAGUGGCACUUUGAUACAUUUCUACGGUGCAUGAACAACAAGCACCCAACUUGCAUUCUAACAGACCAAUGCCCAUCGAUGGCGAAAGCUAUACCACAAUCAUUUCCAAACACCGUCCACAAGCUAUGCCGUUGGCACAUCUUGAGGAAGUAUAGGGAAUACCUCGUGUUGCUGUACAACAAGUACAAAACAUUCAAAGAGGAGUUCACAGCUAUAUUAAACUGGCCGCUGAUGCCAACGGAGUUUGAAGAUGCAUGGGCUAAACUCGUGCACAAGUACAAACUGGAGAACGACCAGAUGAUGAUGCAGCGAUGGAGUGAUAGGAAGAUGUGGAUUUCAACAUAUUACAAGAACAUUUUCUGUGCUAGAAUGACUUCCACACAACGAAGCGAGAGCAUGAACCAUGUGCUAAAGAAAGGGUUUGUCAAGGGGACCCAGAACCUACACAAGUUUGCUAGGCGGGUCAAUGCUUGCAUACAAACUCGGAUGCAGAAGGAGAACGAGCAAACAAUGACCAGCAUGGUAAGAUGA